GACUUGUCCAAUGGUAGUGGUUUAUCAGAACUUAUUAACAUUAGUAUCAUUUAAGUUGGUAUACAACCUACCACUGCUAAAUUUGACUAGCUCUUUA
rnacentral:Y_RNA from 1 species